AUCGAAGGUGAGGGUAUUUUCCUGGAAAUCUGUGUGUACCUGAGGUCUCCUGAAGAUUCUCCAAGUCACGUUAAGACAGUGAAGAGAAACAGGCAGAGGGGAGCAUGCACCCAAAAUUUGCUUCCAAUCAAUUCAAAUGGUGUAUAACAGCUCUGGGUAUCUGUCUUUGCUUUUUGUGUUGUAUGGCUGCUGAUAAUUCUACCAUGGAGUGCCAAGUGGCUAUUGGUCCCUUUAACUGUAAUCUUCCUGAAGAGAAUAUCAUUUCUGCAAAUAACUCUUUAUCUUAUGUUUACAGAGAAAAGUGUCAGCCAGAAAAAGGUGAAAAAAGGAAACAAUGAACUCUCCCUCCACAUCUGAACACCAUACAUAGACUAAGACAUUCCUAUUUCUGUGGGAGCAAUGCACCACUUGCUCUCCCUUUCACAAAUGUUGGUAGAUAGUGUUAUCAAAACAAGUUGGGUUUUUUUGUUUGGGUUUUUUGUACAUAUUUCAAUUAGAAUUGUGAGCCUUGAUUGCUGUGAAUUAUAACUUAAGAGUACUGAAAAAGGG
rnacentral:lncRNA from 1 species